UUAAGCAUAUCAAUAAGCGGAGGAAAAGAAACCAACCGGGAUUGCCUCAGUAACGGCGAGUGAAGCGGCAAGAGCUCAAAUUUGAAAUCUGGCCCCUCCGGGGUCCGAGUUGUAAUUUGUAGAGGAUGCUUCGGGUGCGGCCCCCGUCUAAGUGCUCUGGAACGGGCCAUCGGAGAGGGUGAGAAUCCCGUCUGGGACGGGGUGUCCGCGUCCAUGUGAAGCUCCUUCGACGAGUCGAGUUGUUUGGGAAUGCAGCUCUAAAUGGGUGGUAAAUUUCAUCUAAAGCUAAAUACUGGCCGGAGACCGAUAGCGCACAAGUAGAGUGAUCGAAAGAUGAAAAGCACUUUGAAAAGAGAGUUAAACAGCACGUGAAAUUGUUGAAAGGGAAGCGCUUGCGACCAGACUCGCUUCCGGGGUUCAGCCGGCUUUCGGGCCGGUGUACUUCCCCGGGGGCGGGCCAGCGUCGGUUUGGGCGGCCGGUCAAAGGCCCCUGGAAUGUAACGCCUCUCGGGGCGCCUUAUAGCCAGGGGUGUCAUGCGGCCAGCCUGGACCGAGGAACGCGCUUCGGCACGGACGCUGGCAUAAUGGUCGUAAACGACCCGUCUUGAAACACGGACCAAGGAGUCUAACAUCUACGCGAGUGUUCGGGUGUCAAACCCGUGCGCGCAGUGAAAGCGAACGGAGGUGGGAGCCCCCUCGCGGGGCGCACCAUCGACCGAUCCUGAUGUCUUCGGAUGGAUUUGAGUAAGAGCGUAGCUGUGGGGACCCGAAAGAUGGUGAACUAUGCCUGAAUAGGGCGAAGCCAGAGGAAACUCUGGUGGAGGCUCGCAGCGGUUCUGACGUGCAAAUCGAUCGUCAAUUUGGGUAUAGGGGCGAAAGACUAAUCGAACCAUCUGGUAGCUGGUUCCUGCGA
rnacentral:rRNA from 1 species